rnacentral:rRNA from 1 species
AACGCGUGGAUAAUCUACCCUUCAGUUGGGAAUAACUCAUCGAAAGGUGAGCUAAUACCGAAUAACACUGCCUGACCACGGUCAGGUAGUCAAAGAUAGCCUCUGCUUGCAAGCUUUCGCUGAAAGAUGAGUCCGCGUACCAUUAGCUAGUUGGUGGGGUAAUGGCCUACCAAGGCGACGAUGGUUAGCUGGUCUGAGAGGAUGAUCAGCCACACUGGAACUGAGACACGGUCCAGACUCCUACGGGAGGCAGCAGUGAGGAAUCUUGCGCAAUGGGGGAAACCCUGACGCAGCAACGCCGCGUGAGUGAGGAAGGUCUUCGGAUCGUAAAGCUCUGUCGGGUGGAAAGAAAUGUAUGGGGUUAAUAGCCUUCAUACUUGACGGUACCACCAAAGGAAGCACCGGCUAACUCCGUGCCA